rnacentral:lncRNA from 1 species
UAGAAGAAUUAAUCUACAUGGCUUCUAAAAUCUUUUCAGCUCUGACACUUGAGGAGUCUAACAAAGAAGAUGCUAUAUCAAGAGGAAGAGAAGAAAGAUGGACCACCACACACAGAGCUGCCAAGGAUCCUGCACAUAUGAUAUUAUCAUGGGGAAUUUUCCCCUUGUCUGCCCAGAUGCAAAAAUGUUGUUGGAGUGAGAGACUGGGAAACUUGCCUGGUAUGAAUGGAAAAUUAAGCGUCACCAGCACUUGAGGAAAUUCAACAGCUCUAAAGGAAAGUAUUAACAACAACGACCACAAAAUGAUGAACAAACUGAAAAGUGACCCCAGACAGCUAAAAGAACAACAAAAAAAAAUCGGAAAAAUUCUAAAUAACAUCAUCCUUAGAAAGAUGCACAAAGAUAUGGUAUGAAGCUGCUGUGGAAAAAAGUGCAGACAAUUGCUAUGAUAAAGGAAAACUAACAAACAAAGUGGAAAUUUCAAAAUAUGAUAGCAAAACUAAGUAAAGCAAUAGAAUAAAUAAUAGGAAGGGUAGGGCA